UGACAUCUUUCAGCACUCUUGUUGGUGGAAAAUGUAUUCUUGUUCAAUUUCAAAUGUGAUGGAAUUGACGAUAGGGUACUUCUGCAUGCAAUUGAGCAAACUUGCAGUGAAAUCCUACAGUUGCAAGCCAUUUAGCAAUUCUAUAAUGGGAAGGGAACUCUGUAUUGCUGAGAUUGAAGUUGAGAAAGAUACGACCUUGGUUGUUGCCACCAGCCAUCUUGAGAGUCCUUGCCCUGGGCCACCCAAGUGGGAUCAAAUGUACAGCAAGGAACGUGUGCAGCAAGCCAAGGAAGCUGUGGAGCUGCUUGACAGAAAACGAAAUGUAGUCUUUUGUGGUGAUAUGAACUGGGAUGACAAAUUGGAUGGUCAAUUUCCUCCAACUGAUGGAUGGAUUGAUGCUUGGGGAAAAAUGAAGCCCGAAGAAAUUGGAUGGACAUACGACACCAAGUCAAACAAAAUGUUAAGCGCCAACAGGACACUACAGAAACGUCUAGACAGGAUUGCCUGCAAACUGCAAGAUUUCUGUAUAACUGAUGUUAAGAUGAUUGGAAA
rnacentral:misc_RNA from 1 species